GAUGAACGCUAGCGGCAGGCCUAACACAUGCAAGUCGAGGGGUAGAACACUUCGGUGUUUGAGACCGGCGCACGGGUGCGUAACGCGUAUGCAAUCUACCUUGUACAGGGGAAUAGCCCAGAGAAAUUUGGAUUAAUGCCCCAUAGUAUAUAACCUUCGCAUGUUGGUUAUAUUAAAGUUCCAACGGUACAAGAUGAGCAUGCGUCCCAUUAGUUAGUUGGUAAGGUAACGGCUUACCAAGACGAUGAUGGGUAGGGGUCCUGAGAGGGAGAUCCCCCACACUGGUACUGAGACACGGACCAGACUCCUACGGGAGGCAGCAGUGAGGAAUAUUGGUCAAUGGGCGCAAGCCUGAACCAGCCAUGCCGCGUGCAGGAAGACGGUCCUAUGGAUUGUAAACUGCUUUUAUACAGGAAGAAACCCUCCCACGUGUGGGAGAUUGACGGUACUGUAGGAAUAAGGAUCGGCUAACUCCGUGCCAGCCGCCGCAGUAAGAC
rnacentral:rRNA from 1 species